rnacentral:tRNA from 1 species
GCAUCAGUGGUCCAACGGUAGGAUAUUUGCCUUCCAAGCAAAUGGCUCGGGUUCGACUCCCGGCUGAUGCA